CAGAAAUACAUAUUCACAAGUUAGGCAAUUACACAGUUCGUAAAAUAAGUCCCCACCCUAUCCUCCCACCCCAGCUUCUCCAUAGAGGUAACCCCUGCCCAUUCUUUCUUCUGCUUCUACCUGUAUUUACCUCCUAUUGCUAAAUAAUAUGGUUGUACAGCUAUUCAUCAUUUUCCAGAUUUAGUUAUUAUGCAUUUUCUGUGAUAGAAUAUGGCAACCUAGGUCUCUUAUACCUCUCCCACACACGUACACAUCUUCUCCCUUCAUUUCCUGAAAAAAAGGUUAUAUCACAGUAUUUCACUCCAGCAGCACCCCCUUAUCUGUGGGAGUUGCAUUCCAAGACCCUGAAUACGAAUAGCACCAAACCCAAAUAGUACCAAACCCGAUUGCUGUCAAUUGGAACACAUUUCUGUUCAUGUCUUCCACCCACAAAUUUAAUACCUUUUCAUCUUAACUAAGUGUUUAUCACACACCGUGGGGUGUAAUAAAUAAUUUUUGCAGCUUGUGGUGCAACAGCAAAACUAGCACAAAUUUCUUUUGCCUUCUUCACAAUUUUACAGAUGGAUUUGUUCUUACUGUAGAUCUUAGCAACUUCAGCAUGUGUUUUUUUUCUUUCCUUAUUAAGUCAAGAACUUUCACAUUUUCUGUUAGAGGAAGCACUUUACAGCUUCUCUUUGGUGUAUCUUAUUUGCCAGCAUCACUACUCUUAUGCUUUGGGGACAUUAGUAAGUAAAAUAAGAGUGACUUUAACACAAGCACUGUUAUACCACAACAGUUGAUCUGAGCAACUGGAUGAUGACUAAGUGACUCAUGGGUGGGUAGCAUAUACAUUGUGGAUCCACUGGAGAAAUCUCACACCAUCCCACUUUGCCCUGCCCAGAACAUGGGUGGAGGGUGAUAGUGCGAGAUUUCAACAUGCUACUCAAAACAGCACAUGUUUUAAAACUUAAGAAUUAUUUCUGGAAUUUUCCAUUUAAUAUUUUCAGACUGGCUGGCUGUAACUGAACUGCAGAAAGCAAAACCACAGAUAAUGGGAGACUAUUAUAUUCACAUUAUCCUCUAUGUAAAUAUUAUCUCUCCUAGAGUCCUUUAAGAGUCCUGCUCCAACAUGAAUGACUUGCUUUCUAAGCCUGCUACACACCAACAUCCUGGGAAUUCUCUUCACUUUCUCCUGCGUUGGAUUCCUUGUUUCCCAGCUACUGUGUUUUCCUCUAUCUUGGUUUAAUCUCUUAUUUUGGAGGAUCUUUUAUACUCAAAAGGUCUCUAUCUACUCUCACAUUUAUUUGUUGGUGCCUUUCAUGUUACGGCCUUUCCCUCAAAUGUAUUGUGUUCAUUGACUACUUUUCAUAAUUAAGAAUGAGGCUCUGACAGGUUGACCAAAUGCUGUGAGUGGAAGGGAUUUGUUGCAUUGUGGGCUUCAUCGUCAGGUGAGUAAUAGGGCAGACACGCAGCUUUUGUGUUGAAGGAUCCUCAACUAUUUGUAUCUGUCAGCCUUUUUUUCAGAUUAUGCAGUUUCCCCAUAGGAGGAUCCUCCAGGGUCCUGUCUUGACAGGGUUUGAGUCUGUCUGUCAUCAUUCUGGUAGCUAAAUAAGGAAAGGGUACUGGGAUUUUUGUUUAGUAUGAUGACUGACUUAGUCCC
rnacentral:lncRNA from 1 species